rnacentral:rRNA from 1 species
UCUCAAACAUGUGUAGAGGGGAAUAGCAGGUUAUGCGUCUCCGUGAGAGACUACUAUUGUUACAUGCUGCAAACACGGCCUGCGAUCUUCAAUCCAAUACUCUGUGGAGCACGCCUACUACAGCAAUGGGCGGUUGACAUGUACAUCAAGAUUGAGAGCUGUCGGUUGAGGUGGUACAGGAAGAACCAGACACAGAUCCAUGUCGAUUUAUACAAAGCAGUUGUUGAUGCGAUCACAUCGGGGGAGACGCGAGCAAGCGCUGUUGGUAAAAGAAUAGUGCUCCCUGGAACUUACCCUGGUGGCGACCGC